UGGAUAGAGGCGCGGUACUCAUGCGUACUGUGGGACAGGGUCAGGCAGCCGUCCCCAGGAGAGGGUGUACCGCCGAAGGCUGGCUUCUCUGCCUGGAGAGGCGAACCUGGGCCGCAGGAGAAUAUCCUGCGGACUGUCACGAACAAGUGGAGCGCUAUCCGA
rnacentral:ncRNA from 1 species